rnacentral:lncRNA from 1 species
GAGUUUGUCACUGUAUACAUAUUUUUAUUUUAGCUAAUCAACUUGGAAGUGGAAGCCCUUGGAAAUUCAAAUAUCAGGUUGAUCUCGUAGGUAAUCGUACAUAGCGGUCGUUCACUUUGAACCCCCCCCCCCCAACUAGUUCCUCGUUACAAAAGCCUUGUAUAGUUUUAUUAUGCAUGCAAUUUAUUUUUUGGACAAUCUUCUCAUACUUACACCACUCACGAAUCUGAAACCGCUGUCAUACAAUUACAGGUAUGAUGGAUCGCGUCCAGCCUUCUUCGGAAGCAACACCUGGAGUAGUCGCUGGCAUCUCAGCGACACCUGGUGAUAACCAACCGUCACCAGCCAGGGAAAGCGCGGAAGUAGCUAAAGAAGGCACGGGCCAACAAAAGGCUGACCAAGCUAGUGUGCAAUCACCACAGGACAACAUGGGCCAAGUUAAAGAAACCGAGGAGCAGGAUACUGGAACAGGUGAGACUUACCAAGCUUCUGUGCAAUCACCACAGGACAUCAAGGAGCAACGCGACGAAACAGAGCAGCAGGACACUAGGACUGGUGAGGCUUACCAAGAUGCACCAGCCCCAGAUGCUCCACAAGGUACUGCACCAUUUGAAUUAAUCCUUUGUGAACAUAAAUCCACUCUGCUAGGUAGUUGCCUGUAUGGGUCUCUAAUGUACAUUUUCUGAAACCAUGUUAGAACAUGCCCACUGCUGAUGUUAGAAUUAUUAGAGUUUCUCAGAGCUAGAUAUUUUCUUAUGACAAGUGACCAGUGAAAGAUUCUGCCAAAGCUAAGUCAAUCUGUUGCGUUGCAGACAAAGGUUCACCUCGCUCUACACAACCGCCUCCCCCUGUUGAAUCCAGUCAAAAAGAGUCUAAAAUUGCCGAAGAUAGUCAAACCCUUUUACCGCAAGCAUCCGCUGUUCAAGAAUCCACACCAUCUUCAGCAGGCCCUAGAGAGUCCACACCAUAUCCUUCAGUGGAAGAUCAAGGAUCAGCCCCUAAGGCGGAGGAACCGCUUCCUCCUACGACAGGUAAUACGAUGUUGAGUUUGUCACUGUAUACAUAUUUUUAUUUUAGCUAAUCAACUUGGAAGUGGAAGCCCUUGGAAAUUCAAAUAUCAGGUUGAUCUCGUAGGUAAUCGUACAUAGCGGUCGUUCACUUUGAACCCCCCCCCCCCAACUAGUUCCUCGUUACAAAAGCCUUGUAUAGUUUUAUUAUGCAUGCAAUUUAUUUUUUGGACAAUCUUCUCAUACUUACACCACUCACGAAUCUGAAACCGCUGUCAUACAAUUACAGGUAUGAUGGAUCGCGUCCAGCCUUCUUCGGAAGCAACACCUGGAGUAGUCGCUGGCAUCUCAGCGACACCUGGUGAUAACCAACCGUCACCAGCCAGGGAAAGCGCGGAAGUAGCUAAAGAAGGCACGGACCAACAAAAGGCUGACCAAGCUAGUGUGCAAUCACCAC